UCGCCUGUUUAUCAAAAACAYGUUUUUUUGAUAAAUUAAAAAAUCGUACCUGCUCACUGAAAACAUUAAAGAGCUGCAGUAUCUUAACUGUGCAAAGGUAGCAUAAUACAUUGUCUCUUAAUUAGAGGCUUGAAUGAAAGGUUUAACAAUAUAAUAACUGUCUCAGAUAUUUAUGAAAAAUUAAUUUUUAGUAAAAACUCUAAAAUAUAAUUAAAAGACGAUAAGACCCUAUAAAAUUUUACUCCUUUUUUAAUGAAAAGAUAAAAUAUUUUAUAGAAGAUAAAUUGGGGCGAUUUUUAUAAAUAAAAAAACUGUAAAAUUUUUUAUCCACUUUAAGUGAUUAAAGAUGACCUGGGUUUCCUCCAAUUAAUAAAUCAAAUUACUUUAGGGAUAACAG
rnacentral:rRNA from 1 species